AAAGUCGUAACAAGGUUUCCGUAGGUGAACCUGCGGAAGGAUCAUUAAUGAAUCGGUCUUUUUGACCCAUUUCAAUCCCAUACCUUUGUGAACUGUUUUGGUUACUUUGGCGGGGUCGCAGCUAAUGGGCCCAUUUUAGGGACUCCCCGCCAAGGUCAUUGCAAACUUUAGUUUAAAAUGUUAGAAAGUAAUUUAUUAAAUUUAUACAACUUUUAGCAACGGAUCUCUUGGCUCUC
rnacentral:misc_RNA from 1 species